GACGAACGCUGGCGGCGUGCUUAACACAUGCAAGUCGAACGCUGACGCUUGGUGCUUGCACUGGGUGGAUGAGUGGCGAACGGGUGAGUAAUACGUGAGUAACCUGCUCUUGACUCUGGGAUAAGCCUGGGGAACUGGGUCUAAUACUGGAUACGACAUGUCACCGCAUGGUGGUGUGUGGAAAGGGAUUUACUGGUUUUGGAUGGGCUCACGGCCUAUCAGCUGGUUGGCGGGGUAAUGGCCCACCAAGGCGACGACGGGUAGCCGGCCUGAGAGGGUGACCGGCCACACUGGGACUGAGAGACGGCGCAGAGGCCUACGGGAGGCAGCAGUGGGGAAUCUUGCACAAUGGGCGGAAGCCUGAUGCAGCGACGCCGCGUGAGGGAUGACGGCCUUCGGGUUGUAAACCUCUUUCAGCACGGAAGAAGCGAAAGUGACGGUACGUGCAGAAGAAGCGCCGGCUAACUACGUG
rnacentral:rRNA from 1 species